GCCCGUUCUUUCUCUGUAAUUUACCGCAAAAAAAUGUUAGAAGACGUCCAAAAAGCUCGACUCCGCCAUCCAUGGAAAUUCAAUAUGAGGCUGUAGUUUUCUUCCCGCCGUGGCAUCUCUCUACGCUCUCUUUCAGCACACAAGCGAAACAAGAUUUCCAACUCUGAUGGCUUGUUGGCUGAAAUCUCUGAGGAGAUUCAAAUUAAAUGAAGGACCUAUCUAUCUAAUUGAAGCUCCUCUAGAGAAAGAAAACGCAUAGAGCUGAACAGUGGUGGCAUCAUAAAGCAGUUCCAUGGACGAAGGUCCUGACUUUCUACGUGGUAACAUGUUCUGUCUUCGUAUUUUCUGUUUGUUUUUUUUUUUAAUUAAAAAAAAAACCACUGUGGGAGUCCAAAUUUACUUUGGUAUUUUCCCAUUCAAUGCACAAUUUUCAGUCACGUAUAACCUAAAGUAUUUCUUAAUAUUCUUGGACUUAGCCUACCAGAGUACAAAGGGAAUAAAAUCUUGGACCACCACCCUGAGAUGGGAGGACGGUGGCAUAAUGCCCAAUGGAAAUGAAUUUGUAUUGAGAAUAGUCAAAAACCAGCUCUAGCACCCUACAGCGAGCAUCACAACUUUUCUUUUGAAACAGCAUGUUAAAUUACAUGUAAUAAUGGGAAAAAAAUACCAUAAAAUGAAAAAUGAGUGGAGAACAAAUUACCCGAAUAAUGAAGAAAGAAGCCUAAGAGGGAGAACGGUGGGAAGGUUGCAAUCGAGUAUUUGGUUACGGUGAAGGGUAGGGAUUUGGGAAAAUUUUUUCCAGAAAAUCCAAAAUGAAAAAAAAAAAAUUGAAUAAUAACAAAAUAUAUCGGCUGACCAAAAGGUGUAAUUUGGGUCACUUUAUACAACUCAAUAGCCCAACCUGAUCUUUUAAACCAGUAUCGGACAGGAUACGGUUUUUCCAGCUUGUACAUUUGAGAUGGGCUGAACCUUGAGCAAUCUGAUUUCACACUAUCUAUAUUUGUAAAGAUAUCUCGAUCACAUCCAGAACUUCUCUUUCUAUCGUUUGUUCUAUAUUUGGAACAUAAAAUGGAUAUGAUUUUCCAUCUUCAAACUAUAGCAGUCUGUAUUAUUGUAUAUCUUAGAAGGGUGAAUUUUGCUUCUAGUUAGAAAUAAAUCAUGCAAAACUACUCCUGGAGGCAUUAGCUUAGGUAUAACAUGUAUGAAUCAUGAGAAAAAGUACAAGGGAAGACUUGAAAAUGUUCAAAGAACUAGCACUUUGGUACAUUAAAAUAUAUUCUAAUCAUUACUUUUACAAUUUAUAUGUGGUUAUUCAUAGAAGGAUGCACGAGAAAGGGUGUCUUUUUAGUAAUCAAGUAUGAAAAAAAAAAAAAUCUUCUAGAGAACACUAAAAAUAAAUUUUAUCCUUUUCAAACUUCAUCCGCAUUUUAACUAUCAUUUCCUAUAUCAUUUUUACAUUACGUAGUUUACGUGUUUUUAUUUUUGACAUAAGUUUACGUGUUUUUAUGAAUAAAUGUGUAGAAAUUAGAAAAAUAUUCAUGUAUUAAAUAGAGGCCAAAUAUUCCAAAAGACAUAUGAAGAUGUUGCAGAACAAAGUAUGAAUUAGCUCAUGAGUACUCAAAAACCAGUACAAACAUUGAUAGUAGGGCUUCUAUAUUAUAACUGCUGUCAGUCAUGAACUUAAUCCUUGCACUAAUGGCUGCCAUUUAUUUGGCACUUGUGCAAAAUAAAUAAUGAAUUAGUCAAUGAAUAAGCAAAUUCAGUAAAAAAAAACCAUUUAAGAGAUAAAACAAAUGGCAUAAACGAAAAUAAAAAGGACGUACAGGGAGAGGAAUAAUUUUUAGACAAUUUGUGUAGAAGAAAGAAAAUCUAGAAACAAAAUACCAUUGAAUUUUUAUUGUUUUUAAGAUCUAAAUAAUUCUUCAGUUGUCUGAUGCAUGUUUGACACGUCUUUAACAGGAUAUCCUUGGUGAUAUAAUGAGCACCACUACACAUGAUCAUUGCAGCAUAAAUACAGCAUAUACAAUACUACACCAGGAUAUACCAGCACUGUAGGUUAUUAAGAAUUGUUUUCUAUUCAUUAUGCAUAAGGUGUUGUUGUCUAGGUUAGCUCCUUUACAUGUCAACUAAUCCACCUAGCUGACUAUCUAUUUCCUAAGUAGGAAAUCUGAGGAAUUGUCUAAGAUUCUAACUGGAUGACUUUUGAGAAAGCAAAUCUCAUCUGCUUCCUUGAGCAAAAUGCAUAUGGUUAACAUAUGAAGCAAA